ensembl:lncRNA
UGGUUGUGUUGUAACAUGGUCCUAUAUGGGGUCUCUAGGUGGUGUUGAUGGUUGUGUUGUAACAUGGUCCUAUGUGGGGUCUCUAGGUGUUGAUGGUUGUGUUGUAACAUGGUCCUAUAUGGGGUCUCUAGGUGGUGUUGAUGGUUGUGUUGUAACAUGGUCCUAUAUGGGGUCUCUAGGUGUUGAUGGUUGUGUUGUAACAUGGUCCUAUAUGGGGUCUCUAGGAGGUGUUGAUGGUUGUGUUAUAACAUGGUCCUAUAUGGGGUCUCUAGGUGUUGAUGGUUGUUUUAUAACAUGGUUCUAUAUGGGGUCUCUAGGAGGUGUUGAUGGUUGUGUUGUAACAUGGUCCUAUAUGGGGUCUCUAGGUGGUGUUGAUGGUUGUGUUGUAACAUGGUCCUAUAUGGGGUCUCUAGGUGUUGAUGGUUGUGUUGUAACAUGGUCCUAUAUGGGGUCUCUAGGUGGUGUUGAUGGGUGUGUUGUAACAUGGUCAUAUAUGGGGUCUCUAGGUGGUGUUGAUGGUUGUGUUGUAACAUGGUCCUAUAUGGUGUCUAUAGGUGUUGAUGGUUGUGUUGUAACAUGGUCCUAUAUGGGGUCUGUAGGUGUUGAUGGUUGUGUUGUAACAUGGUCCUAUAUGGGGUCUCUAGGAGGUGUUGAUGGUUGUGUUGUAACAUGGUGCCAUAUGGGGUCUCUAGGAGGUGUUGAUGGUUGUGUUGUAACAUGGUCCUAUAUGGGGUCUCUAGGUGUUGAUGGUUGUGUUGUAAGAUGGUCCUAUAUGGGGUCUCUAGGUGUUGAUGGUUGUGUUGUAACAUGGUCCUAUAUGGGGUCUCUAGGUGUUGAUGGUUGUGUUGUAAAAUGGUCCUAUAUAGGUGUUGAUGGUUGUGUUGUAACAUGGUCCUAUAUGGGGUCUCUAGGUUUUGAUGGUUGUGUUGUAACAUGGUCCUAUAUGGGGUCUGUAGGUGUUGAUGGUUGUGAUGUAACAUGGUCCUAUAUGGGGUCUCUAGGUGUUGAUGGUUCUGUUGUAACAUGGUCCUAUAUGGGGUCUCUAGGUGUUGAUGGUUGUGUUGUAACAUGGUCCUAUAUGGGGUCUCUAGGUGUUGAUGGUUGUUGGGGGACAGGUAGUGGCUGUGUUUGGAGGUAUAUUUAGCUGGGGGACAGGUAGUGGCUGUGACUGGAGGUAUAUUUAGCUGGGGGACAGGUAGUGGCUGUGACUGGAGGUAUAUUUAGCUGGGGGACAGGUAGUGGCUGUGACUUGGGGUAUAUUUAGCUGGGGGGACCGUUUUUGUGUGGCUAGUAGUCCCUAGAAAUGCCAGAAGCUAGGAAGAAACCUAGAGAGGAACCAGGCUAUGAGGGGUGGCCAGUCCUCUUCUGGCUGUGCCGGGUGGAG